AGCCAGCACAACGCAGUUCGCUCCGUUGUUUUGUUUACAGAAUGAAACACGCAGUGUCCUACACCAUAACGGAGCAUGCCUCAACUGCCCUAUCACGAAAACCGCAGCGAUAACAAUGAAGAUAUCGGCCGCCGUACACCAAUGCUAUGAGUCGAAACCAGCGCGACUACGAAGUGGCGGAGGCAACAGGACGUUCCAUAUCUUCGCUGCGGUGAACUUGAAACUGCCACGGAAUGCAGCGGUAUGGUGGCGUGGUACUACCAUCGUCCAGUUCAACGUUCUGGUGAAGG